rnacentral:lncRNA from 1 species
UUUCACUCCAGCUCUUUUCCUGGUGACUCUUACUGCUUUUGACAAGUCACCAGGCAAUUUCAGAUCAAAAUCAGAAGCUCAGCCCCAACUCCAUCUGGCAGUGCCUUAACUGAGACUGGCAGUGGCUGAUUUUCAAACCAGUGAAAAGGUAUAAGAACCUCACCAACAUAUUGCUGGGAGGAACAGGGCUGUGCUUGAGGCUCUGGACAGCCAGGAAGCAUCACAGCUGUACUACAAUGCAGAUCCAAGUGUAGACACACUCAUGGACAAGUCCUGCUUUCAUGUACACCUUCAGUACAGAGCAAACCCUGUGGCAGCUCCUAUCUUCUAACCAAGUGCAAGUGACACUGUCCUGCUUUUCUCCAUCAGCCUGCAGGAUGGGGUGACAGCCAAUCUAUGCAUACUGCCUCUUGCUGUCUCAUGGCAGAGGUUGCAGGAUGCUGUUCCCACCCUUGGGGCCUGAGCAGAGUGCCCAUUCCCAUGGAAUGACUUCUGAUGUGUUGUGUGCUGCACUGUGUUCAUUGCAGGGACUAAAUGUGUAGUUAUCUCACAGGGUGCAUACAUUCAGAGCUGAGCUGAAAUGGGCUGGAUGUGUUUGCUGCAUCUUGAACUGCCUGGGUGCAACAAAACAUGAUAGGCUGUUCCAGUAGUUCAAACUUGUAUCUGUGUUUAAUCAGCCCAGGUGUCCAACUGUCUGCUAAAAGAAAUCCUUUUGGAAGCCGCUGAGAUGGGUUUUUCUUUAUGAAAUCUCAUUACUGUGAUAGGUGGCAGUGUCUGUUAUGCAGGUUGGCAUUAUCUUCAGUUUCUUCUAAUGCUGCCUGACUUUAACUGGCUGGGCUGAUAUCUUCUGUGAGAGGUCUUGCCAAGGGCUGAUGGAUUCCUCAGCCUUUUGUACGACAUGCUAUUCAAAUCUGCUAACUCUGCUCCUAUUAAUUUCCUCUUAGGUUCUUCUGUAAUACCAUUGUACUGCUGAAGUGCUUACAGCAACUCCUGCAUUUAUAAUCACCAGCUCACCUGGUGAGAAAAAGCAGCUAUUUCUGACAGCCCCUUUGAGCUGCCCAAGGUCUGCCCACCCAGGGACCAGCACAGUGGCACAAUGCAUGGAGGUUCAGAGCAGGACCCUCACUGAUUUCUGUCACUGCACCCCUUUGAUUUCAAGACGGAUACUGGGCAAUGAGAGCACACACAGAGGCAGUGAUUACCUACAAAUGCUUGAUGAUGUCCAUGAUAUCCCAGAGGUACACAGCACCACAGGUAGGGAGAAAGUCCAAUUCUCUGGGACAGAAUGCUGGUGUCUUCUGAGUGAGACAGCGUCUUCUUUCAGCCUCUACAUCAACUGUUACACACUUUCCAUCUUCUCCAAAGGGAGGAGCAGAGGUCAGCUGGCAGCAGCCUCCUCUGUCCUCAUGCUUUGCUGUUCAGCCCCUCCACAGCUGCAGUCUGUGCGCUAAGAGAGGCAGGGCUCCAGGGGCUAAAGGAGCAGGCAAGUUAGACACUCAUGGGGCCCAGAAAUUAGAUUGCACAAGGCCACCAUCAUUCUGGCUCUCCUCCAUCACCUUCCUGCUUGUGAAGGGCUUGCUUUCACAAUCUUUAGCUUUUAACAUAUUUUUCCUUCAGGGAGUGGUGGUGGUUAGAAAGAUGUCUAACAGAAACUGACCAUCUUUUAUAGAGAUUUCUCAGUGGUAGCUCAGGAGAUGGCAGGGCAAAGACCCAGAGACAUGUAGCGGUCCCUUGGGAGGCCUGUCCCUCCUUGGGAAAGCAGGUGAGGAAAUCUCAGCUCCUCUUCCUGUGAAACUCUAGUUGAGGUCAGGCUGCCAGGCUCCAGGUGCCUGGGAGAGCUGCUGCAUGCCUUGGAUGUGUGCUGUGGCUCUCCUCAUGGUCCUGGCCACCCAAAUGAGCUCCCACCCAUGGAUCUGACCUGCAGCUAGCAUGUCCUCCUGCGUGGAAAUCAGGUGUAGGGAGGUGGAGACCACUAAUCCUUCUGACUGAGCAGGUGAUACGCAGCCAGGAUGGGCACCUAAAUUUAGGUGCCAAAAAGAUCAUUAGCUGACAUAUGUAGCUUCUGGCACCAGAGAUUACAUGCCCAGGAGCACUACUAUUUAUCCAUCCUGGCCUCAGCUGGUGCUGAUUUUAGUAUUUAAAACAAUGUUUCAAGCCUAAAUUCUCCUUGCAGCCAUGAAAUGCCGUAAAUGGAGGCUGCUGGCUGACCUGCAAUCCCUUCCUCCUCUUUCGUUUGUGCCAUGGCUGGUCCUACUUUAUCAAGCCUAACACCUUCCACUCGGAAAUGCCAGUUGAGAUUUUAGAUUUAUAAAAACUCAUCGUAGCGGAUCUUGCAGUCUAUCGGAGCAUGUGGUGCUCUGUGUGCUGUGAGCCCAUCUUCACUGCUGCACUGAGCAAAAUGGGUAAUUCUCCUUCUGCAAGGCAGCUAUUCAGAUCCCAAACAGGGCUGGUUAUUUUUUUCCUGACUUGCAGUUAUUAUUAAAAGCUCUGUCUUUUGCAGGCGUGUUGUUGUGCUGGAUCAGAAAUAGCGAUGCAGGGGCACUGAAGGUUGAGCCCUGUGUUUUGCUAACACUCUGGAAGACGAUGCCAUCUGUGACAUGAUUCAGAUCAGUGGUUUAGUGAAAUUCUGUUGGCAGGGAGUUAUUUACCAGAUUAAUGUUUCAGAAGUUCUCGGGCUUCCAAAAUGAUGCUUUGCCUUCCAUCUCCUUCUGCAAUUUUCUUUCACGUCUCCAAAGGUAAGCCCUGUCAGAGUGCCUCAUUAGCAUGUCUGGACAAGGCAAGAAAUACAAUCUUUGCUGGCACAAACCCAUGAGGCACAGCUUGAAAGGGUGCACAGAGGUCCUGAUGCUUUGAGCAGGUCAUGCAGAUGCCACCAAAGCCUGUAACGUGGGCACACAGCGAGAGUCCCCCCCAGACACCUCUUCCCCACAGCAUCCCAACACAGGAGGCAUCCCCAGAGCACAUGCAGAACACAGUGUGGAAAAGAAAUUUGGUUCUUUCAAGAGAAACGAAUUUUGGCCAUCUGAAAACCUCCAUGGCAAAUCAUCAUGUGCCUCUGGAAUGUGCCUCAUUUGAAGAACAAAUUGAAAAUGCCUUUGAUUUUAAAACCCUGUCAGGACUACAGCUCUCCAGACACACCAGACUUCUCUGGUUUACAGCAGUCAAAGUAUUCUCAAUACUCACUUGCAGAGUUGGACUUUGCAGAGGUCCCCUCAGGCCAGGAAGCCCCAUGGCUUUGGGUGCUGCUCGAACACCUCCAAAGCCAUCAAAGAGCUCACAGCCCUGUGAAACGCCUCACAAACAUCCACCAGACAACCUGGAUGUGGGAAAUAAAAUUCUGCACUAUCUCUGUGGGCACCUCUCCCCAGCUAUUUUCUGAAAUACAUUUUUCCAUAAAGCACCAGCUGUGUCAGACACUUCAGAGUGGCUGCAGCAUCCUAAGGAUGUUUUGAAUUAUACCAGACCUUCUCUGGGUAAAAUGAUCUCCACACAGCAUUAUUUGUAAUUGAAAAUGAGAGGUUAGAGUAAAUGAAUUCUCAUCACCAUCACAGAUCUUCAUAAGCUGCCCACUGCCACAGUAAUUAGGCACAAAAAUUAGGCAAUAACAGCAGUUGUUUCUGAAGUAUUUUGAACAUCAUAAAAAUAGUUUUAAUGGUUAAAACCCAAAGUGCUGGGAGCCAUCACUGUGACAGCUCUGUAGAUGAGAGCUGCAUCCCAGCAGCGAGAUGCAGUAAAUUUACUCACAGUAAAUCUGGAUCACUGGAAAAAUAGUUAGAUAAAACAGAACAUUUUCAUACCUGUUAGUUUCUGGUUUGCUGUUGAUUGGACAGUGUGUUUGAUCAUUUUGUGCAGCAGAGUGACAAAUAACUUACAAAAUUAUUUCCCUGAAAUUGUUUGGAAAUAUAGCUCUUCUUGCCAUAUAUUUCAUCUGGAAGGCAAUUUUUUCCUGCCCUUCUGCACAUCAGCCUGGAGUUUCUG